UACGGAAGGCAGCAGUGGGGAAUAUUGCACAAUGGGCGAAAGCCUGAUGCAGCUAUGCCGCGUGUAUGAAGAAGGCCUUAGGGUUGUAAAGUACUUUCAUCGGGGAGGAAAAAACAAAACUAAUAAUUUUAUUUCUUGACGUUACCCGAAAAAGAAGCACCGGCUAACUCCGUGCCAGCAGCCGCGGUAAUACGGAGGGUGCUAGCGUUAAUCAGAAUUACUGGGCGUAAAGAGCACGUAGGUGGUUUUUUUAAGUCAGAUGUGAAAUCCCUGGGCUUAACCUGGAACUGCAUUUUGAAACUGAAAUACUAGAGUAUCGUAGAGGGAGGUAGAAUUCUAGGUGUAGCGGUGAAAUGCGUAGAUAUCUGGAGGAAUACCUGUGGCGAAAGCGGCCUCCUAAACGAAUACUGACACUGAGGUGCGAAAGCAUGGGGAGCAAACAGGGAUUAGAUACC
rnacentral:rRNA from 1 species